UAUUGCCCUUAUUUAUAUGCUUGAAAUAUUUCAGCUCAGAGACUGGAGACUGCAAGCCAACAGGUCCAAGAAAACACCCUAAGUACUGCAGAGGAGGACCUAGAACUACCUUUAUUUGAUUUGGCCACCAUUUCAACAGCCACUAAUAAUUUCUCCUAUGAAAAUAAGAUCGGGGAAGGUGGAUUUGGUCCCGUUUAUAAGGGUCAACUCUUAAGUGGACAAGAAGUAGCGGUGAAGAGACUAGCCAAGAAUUCUAGGCAAGGCGUCAAAGAGUUCAAGAAUGAGUUUAUCUUCAUUGCGAAGCUACAACAUCGGAAUCUGGUCAGGCUGUUGGGAUGUUGCAUUCAUGAAGAAGAACGGAUGUUGAUAUAUGAGUACAUGUAAAAAAGAAGUUUAGAGUUACACAUAUUCAGUUA